AGUAAGUCAGACAGUCGCGGGAACAAGGCGAAAGCCUGUUCAUGAGGAAAGUCCGGGCUCCGCAGGGCAAGGAUAACGGGUAACGCCCGCCGAAGGCGACUUCAGGAAAAGUGCAACAGAGAUAUACCGCCGUCAGGGCAUUGCUCUGCCGGUAAGGGUGGAAAGGCGAGGUAAGAGCUCACCCAUCGGCUGGGAACAGACCGAUGCUGUAAACUCUAUCCGGAGCAACACCGGUAUGGGAGCAUAAGGUUGGCCCGACCGCUCCCGGGGUGGCUUGACCGCAGCGGCAACGCUGCGGCUAGAUAGAUGACUGUCAAGACAGAACCCGGCUUACAGACUUACUCG
rnacentral:RNase_P_RNA from 1 species